rnacentral:tRNA from 1 species
UGAAGUAUUUUAGUAUGUUUAAUUUCCAAUUAAAAGGGGAAAUGUA